GUGGCGCAUCUUUCGAAAACCAUGGGUCUUUCAUUUGAACUUGAUUUGAACAUCGACUAAGCUGUUUGAUUUAUAAAUUAUUCUCUAUAUGCAAUAAUUUUUAUAAAAAAUAAUAAAAAGUAUCAAAUUUUAAAUAAUAUGCAUCAAUUAAAAUAAAAUUUUAUAUUUUUAAUAUCUUAAUUUAAAUGUUUAUCAAUUGAUCAUUUCAUGAAGCAUUGGUUUGUAGAU
rnacentral:lncRNA from 1 species